rnacentral:other from 2 species
AAUUGUCUAUUGUACUUGCGUUGACUUUUGUCCCCUGAGCUGAUAAAUAAAAAAUAAGGAGAUGAGAUAGUGUGCUAUUGUGCAAGCCCGCCUUGCCUUUGGGUAUUGAAGCGGGAAGCCUGCGGUAUGCUUCGAACUUCCGCCUUGAACCUUAAUGGUUCAGGUUUAAAGUCACGCGAGUAUGAUAGACACUGA